GACGAACGCUGGCGGCGUGCCUAAUACAUGCAAGUCGAACGCAGUGGGGACGGGUGAGUAACACGUGGGUAACCUCCCAUCAGAGGGGAUAACACUUGGAAACCGGUGCUAAACCGCUACUGAUGGAUGGACCCGCGGUGCAUUAGCUAGUGGGUGAGGUAACGGCUCACCAAGGCCACGAUGCAUAGCCGACCGGAGAGGGUGGUCGGGCACACUGGGAUUGAGACACGGCCCAGACUCCUACGGGAGGCAGCAGGAGGGAAUUUUGGGCAAUGGGCGCAAGUCUGAUCGAGCCACGCCGCGUGAGGGAAGAAGGUUGUAGGAUCUUAAAACUCUGUUGUUAGAGAAGCGGUAUCUAACCAGUAAGCCACGGCUAACUACGUGCCAGCAGCCGCGGUAAUUC
rnacentral:rRNA from 1 species